UCUGGGACCUUUACGUGUCACGCUCUACAACGUAUCGUGCAAUUUAUAAAGGUUGGUACUUCAUCAUCGGUUGGGUCGUCAUUCUGAACCCGCACGAUAUCCAGGAGCAAAAUGGCAAGAAAGGAGAAAGAUACUAACGCCUGCAUUCCAUUUUAAUAUAAUUAAACAAUUUUUUGAUACUAUGGUCGAGGAAAGCAAUCGUAUGACAAACUCAUUGAAAGAUAUGGAAAAUUCAACUGUUCAGGAUUUACGGUCUUUUAUUAGCUACCAUACUUUGAAUAUAAUAUGUGGUAAAAA